rnacentral:rRNA from 1 species
GGUUAAGUGACUAAGCGUACACGGUGGAUGCCUAGGCAAUCAGAGGCGAAGAAGGACGUGCUAAUCUGCGAAAAGCUUGGAUGAGUUGAUAAGAAGCGUUUAAUCCAAGAUAUCCGAAUGGGGAAACCCAGUAGAUGAAGAAUCUACUAUCAACAGAUGAAUACAUAGUCUGUUGAGGCAAACCGGGAGAACUGAAACAUCUAAGUACCCCGAGGAAAAGAAAUCAACCGAGAUUUUGUAAGUAGCGGCGAGCGAAAGCGAAAGAGCCAGUGAGUGAUAGCAGCAAAGACAGAAGAAUUGGCUGGGAAGCCAAGCGACACAGGGUGAUAGCCCCGUAUUCGAAGUUUUUGUUGUGGUACUAAGCUAACGAUAAGUAGGGCGGGACACGAGAAAUCCUGUUUGAAGAUGGGGGGACCAUCCUCCAAGGCUAAAUACUCCUGAUUGACCGAUAGUGAACCAGUACUGUGAAGGAAAGGCGAAAAGAACCCCAGUGAGGGGAGUGAAAUAGAACCUGAAACCGUGUACGUACAAGCAGUGGGAGCCCUUUGGGGUGACUGCGUACCUUUUGUAUAAUGGGUCAGCGACUUAUAUUUUGUAGCGAGGUUAACUGAAUAAGGGAGCCGAAGGGAAACCGAGUCUUAACUGGGCGGAUAGUUGCAAGGUAUAGACCCGAAACCCGGUGAUCUAGCCAUGGGCAGGUUGAAGGUUGGGUAACACUAACUGGAGGACCGAACCGACUAAUGUUGAAAAAUUAGCGGAUGACUUGUGGCUGGGGGUGAAAGGCCAAUCAAACCGGGAGAUAGCUGGUUCUCCCCGAAAUCUAUUUAGGUAGAGCCUUAUGUGAAUACCUUCGGGGGUAGAGCACUGUUUCGGCUAGGGGUCCAUCCCGGAUUACCAACCCGAUGCAAACUGCGAAUACCGAAGAGUAAUGCAUAGGAGACACACGGUGGGUGCUAACGUCCAUCGUGGAGAGGGAAACAACCCAGACCGCCAGCUAAGGUCCCAAAGUCUAUAUUAAGUGGGAAACGAAGUGGGAAGGCUUAGACAGCUAGGAUGUUGGCUUAGAAGCAGCCAUCAUUUAAAGAAAGCGUAAUAGCUCACUAGUCGAGUCGGCCUGCGCGGAAGAUGUAACGGGGCUAAAAUAUAGCACCGAAGCUGCGGCAUCAGGCGUAUCACUAAUACGCCUUACGAUUAACAACAUCGAAUGAAGUGAAACGGAAUGAGAUGUUGGUCAAGCAACCCGAACGUUGAGUCGGAAAGUAAUCGAAGAGAGGAUUAUUAGUGAUACGCCUGUUGGGUAGGGGAGCGUUGUGUAAGYSGAUGAAGGUGKAUUGAGAAGUMUGCUGGASRUAUCACAAGUGCGAAUGCUGACAUAAGUAACGAUAAAACGAGUGAAAAACUCGUUCGCCGGAAGACCAAGGGUUCCUGUCCAACGUUAAUCGGGGCAGGGUGAGUCGGCCCCUAAGGCGAGGCUGAAAAGCGUAGUYGAUGGGAAACGGGUUAAUAUUCCCGUACUUG